rnacentral:rRNA from 1 species
GUGGACGCCAGUCUGCGUGGAGCCGACCUUGAAAUACCACCCUUUAAUGUUUGAUGUUCUAACGUGGACCCGUGAUCCGGGUUGCGGACAGUGUCUGGUGGGUAGUUUGACUGGGGCGGUCUCCUCCUAAAGAGUAACGGAGGAGCACGAAGGUUGGCUAAUCCUGGUCGGACAUCAGGAGGUUAGUGCAAUGGCAUAAGCCAGCUUGACUGCGAGCGUGACGGCGCGAGCAGGUGCGAAAGCAGGUCAUAGUGAUCCGGUGGUUCUGAAUGGAAGGGCCAUCGCUCAACGGAUAAAAGGUACUCCGGGGAUAACAGGCUGAUACCGCCCAAGAGUUCAUAUCGACGGCGGUGUUUGGCACCUCGAUGUCGGCUCAUCACAUCCUGGGGCUGAAGUAGGUCCCAAGGGUAUGGCUGUUCGCCAUUUAAAGUGGUACGCGAGCUGGGUUUAGAACGUCGUGAGACAGUUCGGUCCCUAUCUGCCGUGGGCGCUGGAGAACUGAGGGGGGCUGCUCCUAGUACGAGAGGACCGGAGUGGACGCAUCACUGGUGUUCGGGUUGUCAUGCCAAUGGCACUGCCCGGUAGCUAAAUGCGGAAGAGAUAAGUGCUGAAAGCAUCUAAGCACGAAACUUGCCCCGAGAUGAGUUCUCCCUGAGACUUUAGGUCUCCUGAAGGAACGUUGAAGACGACGACGUUGAU